ACGUUAAUUGACGCUUCAAGCGCGUUCUCGACAAGGUUCAAACCCGGAAAAACAUUUGGAAGCUUGCUAGGUGGCGGUAACGCGUCUUUCACUACUAGCCACGUUAAAACCCCAAACAGAAGAGGAUGAACCCUGGAAAUGGAUUCUACAACUAGCAAAUGACCAAGCGCAACUCAAAGCCCACUAAAGUGGCACAAAGAAGAAGGUUUUAUCAGCGGCAUCUCGAGAGUCAAAAAGAAAAUAUGAUAAAAGUCGGUCAGGGACCCGAAUAUCUAUUGGUUACGCUCUGGAAGAAUGGAGGCUGCUUCAACUGUAUUUGGGCCUGAAAAAGGAUGCGGACAUGGCGCAUUUUCUAGUGACCAGCUACCGGAAGAAGCAGGCUCCUGAAACUGCAAUUCAGGGAGGUAAUGUGCAGUCAACCUCGACACCCAGUAAGAGAACAGCAGCUAAAAUGUCGCAUCGAUUAUCUCCAACUGAACCUGUGUCUGAGGGGGAAGAUUUUCUAAUGGCUGGUGUUGAGGCGCUGAUGACCUAGAUUUGGAUCCUUUUGAAAAAAGUUUCAAAUCCAUGGAUCUAGCUACGGAUGCAGUCCAAAUUGAUGAGGACCAAGCAAACAACUUACUCAACAGUGUGCUGGGAUCCUAAAGGGAAUUUCCAUCCUACUUGUGUGGCUGAAGGACAUCUUCAACCAAUUUUGGUACAUUUGCCAGAAAGCACAACAUCGUGAUAUGUUUAAUGACAUGUGGGUGGGUGUGCUUCACCAUGUCACAGGGAAGCAUGAAUGGACCCGUGGCAAAUGUGACCAUGGACCACUUGAUGCAACGACCAGUGAUAAAGAGCUCACGGUACCAUGAUCUCCACCACACGAGGCUCUUCAACGAAUCAUGUUCAACAGACGCUGGUUGAAGGAUGUCACCAAUCUGACCUUUAGGCCCCAGCUACGUGAAGCAUCAAAAGACAGGAAUGACUUCUUUCAUGCACACAGAUUUAUUAGAAAUUAAGAAAAAAUACUAUGUACAAAUGCAAAUAACAGAACUUUUUUGUACAUAAAUAAAAAUAAAUAUAUUGCACAAACUGUUUGUUUAUUUUGGGGUGAAAAUGCUGUCUUCAGCUAAAGUUAUUUUGAGGUAUUGUGCUGUUUUGGAACUACUGUAGUUGUAGAUAAACGGUUUGGAUAUUUGGGUUAGGGUGCCCUCAGUCAGGAAGACGGUGUCCUGGCGUCUCUUGCCGAAACUCCAGGAUAUCCAGCAUCACCCCUGGAAGACGGGUCACCACUCUCUCGAGAAUAUAAUCUCUCUCCUCCUGGCUCAAGUGUUGUAAAGCUGUCUAGAAAUUAAAGAGCAUAUGUUUACAUGACUAGAUUCAUAUCUCCAGUGAGUGAUGUUUUUGUUUUUGGCAUCUAUUAUUUUAUUUUAUUUUUUUACACAAAUGGCUACAACCAACCUGCAUCUCAGCUAUACUGGCAGCUCUCAGCUGUGCAAGCCGGUCUCAGUCCUCUUCUCUGAAAGCUGUUCGCUUCCUACCCCGGCGCCCUGGUCCUCUUGAAGGAGUUCUGGACCUCAACCUGCUGCCCUCACCCCUUGAGCGUGUCCUUCCCCGACCCUCGGAGCGACCUUUUCCUCUCCCCUUUCCUUUAGCCCCUGGUCUCAGACUUUCCCACGACACAUCAAAGUCUGUGGCAGGCUCGGGCACACUCCAUCUGAACUGUCUUCCAUCACUCCUUCCAAUGUGAAUUCCUGAAAAUCAAUGACAGUAAUGGAAAAAUGACUAUUACCCUGUAGGUCUUGUUGAUAUUAUGAUUUUAUUUUGAUGCAUUUUUGAACUAAACAUUGAUAUUUAUGUUCUUAUUUACAUUGUUGUGAUGCCUGUCCUGUAAUGAAAUUGGUUUCACAAAUGAUGUCAGUGACUUGAAACUGGAUGUUCUUACAUGAUGUAUAAACAAUAACAUUAGCUUGUUAGUAAGCUUAGUGCAAAAUAAUAACUGUAAUUGGUCUAAAAACACCAGAAAUCACCUGCAGCCACAAAUUCUUAUGCUGAUAAAGUAGCAUCAUGUUACUGUCUUGCUCGCCAGUCACAAAACUGGCUUAUGAAUAUUUCAUAGGAAGGAGCACUUGCUUUACAUCACGAGUGUCAUGGCUAAAUUAAAAUGCUAAUGUUGUCAUGGAAUUAUACAAAUAUUAGACUAAAGUAACAAUGUUACUUCAUCGCUAGACACGGUGCCUUGUUCGAGCCGCGCUCUGGCCGUACAUCACUGUAACUUUUUUUUUCUAGUGAAGAGUUUGUGCGCGCUCUCGUGCCAGGCUGCAGUUACUCACAGCGCCGAGUGCGCCGCUAAUGAGUUUCGUUUCUUCAUCCUGCCCCAUGCUCCUUUAAAGUUAUGUAGGUCCUCAACCCCUCUAAAUCCAACUAUGGCAUAAUAAUCUAUCCCAGUCCGUGCUGACCUGUCAACUUUCUCCUUGAUCGAAUCCACUUUCUGUGCCAGAGUCUG